rnacentral:rRNA from 1 species
UACGUAGGGUGCGAGCGUUAAUCGGAAUUACUGGGCGUAAAGCGUGCGCAGGCGGUUUGCUAAGACAGGUGUGAAAUCCCCGGGCUUAACCUGGGAACUGCGCUUGUGACUGGCAGGCUAGAGUACGGCAGAGGGGGGUGGAAUUCCUGGUGUAGCAGUGAAAGGCGUAGAUAUCAGGAGGAACACCGAUGGCGAAGGCAGCCCCCUGGGCCUGUACUGACGCUCAUGCACGAAAGCGUGGGGAGCAAACAGGAUUAGAUACCCCGGUA